rnacentral:tRNA from 1 species
UUAAUUUUAGUUUAUAAAAAUAUUAAAUUGCAAAUUUAAAGAUAUAUAAUUUAUUAUAAAUUAAU